rnacentral:tRNA from 1 species
GGGCGCUUAGCUCAGUUGGUUAGAGCACCGCGCUUACAACGCGGUGGUCGGGGGUUCGAGUCCCUCAGCGCCCA